GUCUGGGUGGUGUAGUUGGUUAUCACGCUAGUCUCACACACUAGAGGUCCCCAAUUCGAACCUGGGCUGAGUUC